CCAGGAAGCAAGUGGGAGGAACGGGCUUCAGGGAGAAGGGGACGCAAGGCCAAGCCUGGGUCCAUGGGACAUGCCACACCCGCCACAUCUGCUUUAUCCCUACUUCGCAUCCUAGCCCGAGUCUAGAGUGCAUGGACACUCAGGAGUUCCGAGUUGCGCCAAAAAUACCUCCAGAGCCCCGUGUGGCUAAGAAUGCUAAGCUCUGGCCAACGUUGAGCCUCCCCUUUGUAACAGCCGGCACCCAAUUUGCUUUAUAUGGUCAUGAGCCCUCUUACCUGCAGCAUCAAAUGGGAGGCAUGAAGCCACGAUAAAGAACAAGCAAAGUGAGCUCCGUGAACGGGCUUUCCCAGGCUGCCUUCUGCACACAUGAGCCUACCCAGAGGGGACACAGAACAGGGAUGAGGCCUCUUGCAUCUGUGGGGGCUAUGAAGACAAAUGUUAUGUGUACCUAAAACUAAACCAGCACUCACUGCUUCCAGGAAGAGUUGGAAUAAAAAGGAAGGAGAAACUCACCGGAAAUGAAACUCAAAGGCCAGGAGUGAGGGCGGUUACCCGCCACACUCCUGUGAGAGCCUACCCAUCAUGGCGAAGCUGGAGAGUGGGCAGAUCCUUUCCCAGAGCCCCUCCAAGUCACCUUGGAGAUACCAUCAGACUUCCCUCUUUUCUUCAGAUUUCUUCAACCACUCCACAGACAUAUUUAAAGCACCUGCCACAGCUGUCUGAGUCUGAAGCCAGAAUACAGGCGACAUGUAAGAAUAAUGCCAAGGACAGGAGAGGAUGGGGCGGCCGAGGAGAAGCACCACGUUACCCUCAAGCCCUACCCUGUGGGCAGCUGUCCCCACCCCGGCUGUGCUUGUGGAGAUAUCUCCGUGUGGCCAAACCACAAGGCCCCCAUUUGGAGGAUCCCAUUUUCUAACCACCUUGGCCCAACAUCAAUAACAACAUUGCCCCAUAAGAAGCCGCGAGGCAUUUCCUCAGGGAACCACCAGCGCCAGGGCUCAAAGACCAAGUCCAGACACUAGGAACUCCCCUCAGGAGUGUAAAACCGAGUUCAGAAAUAAGAAAAACAAAGUUUCCAGCCCAAGUCUCCUCCAUGGGAGACACCCUCAGCGCCCCUCCUCACAGCUGCUAGGCCUCCUCCUCGGGCCGGCCCCUCAUUAGGAACUAACAGUCCCAGCCAUGCCAGCCUCCAGGCCUCCUUGUUAACUCCUUGGUUUCCCUUAGUGCUGCCAGGAGAAAAUUAGGCCUCAGAAAUCCUGAGCAGUACUGAGAGGCAGAGAGCACCUACCACAGAUGGUUAAUGGUGUGUACAUUCUAUGGUUUCUCUUAAUAAACCAAAUUAAUAAUAAUUGCUGCCAUUUAUAGAGUGCCUCUUAUGCUUUACCCACUUGCAUUAUGAACUCUUCUGCAGCCUCUCAUGUUUGCAACAACACUAGAAGGUAGGAAUUUCUUCGCCUAUCCUAUAAAUGAGAGCAUGGAGGCUGUGUAGCUGGCAAGCAGAUGUGUGGUUUAAACUCAGCUCUGUUCUGUUUUUCGCCCACCUUAUUACUUACUUUGAGCAAAACUGGAUUCUAAAAUGUGCAGAUUAAAGAGCUGACCACUACCCUUGCAUCGUCCAUCUGCAGAAGUUUUACAUCUUUUUCUUUUCCUUUUUUUUUUUUGAGAUGGAGUCUCACUCUGUCUUCCAGGCUGGAGUGCAGUGGUGUGAUCUCAGCUCACUGCAACCUCCACCUCCUAGGUUCAAGUGAUUCUCCUGCCUCAGCCUCCAGAGUAGCUGGGAUGACAGGUGCCUGCCACCAUGCCCGACUGAUUUUUGUAUUUUUAGUA
rnacentral:lncRNA from 1 species